UACGUAGGUGACAAGCGUUGUCCGGAUUUACUGGGCGUAAAGAGCGCGCAGGCGGUCGUUCAAGUCGAGUGUGAAAGCCCCCGGCUCAACUGGGGAGGGUCACUCGAUACUGAUCGACUCGAAGGCAGGAGAGGGAAGUGGAAUUCCCGGUGUAGUGGUGAAAUGCGUAGAUAUCGGGAGGAACACCAGUGGCGAAGGCGACGUCCUGGCCUGUUCUUGACGCUGAGGCGCGAAAGCUAGGGGAGCAAACGGG
rnacentral:rRNA from 1 species